rfam:Ictidomys tridecemlineatus contig054718, whole genome shotgun sequence.
UGUGGUGUAGCUCAGUGGUAAAGCAUUUGCCUAGCAUGCAUGAGGUCUUGGGUUCAAUGCCCAGCACUAUUA